UGGGGAAUAUUGCACAAUGGGGGAAACCCUGAUGCAGCGACGCCGCGUGAAGGAAGAAGUAUCUCGGUAUGUAAACUUCUAUCAGCAGGGAAGAAAACAGACGGUACCUGACUAAGAAGCCCCGGCUAACUACGUGCCAGCAGCCGCGGUAAUACGUAGGGGGCAAGCGUUAUCCGGAUUUACUGGGUGUAAAGGGGGCGCAGACGGCCAUGGCAAGCCCGGUGUGAAAGGCAGGGGCAUAACCCCUGGACUGCACUGGGAACUGUCAGGCUGGAGUGCCGGAGGGGUAAGCGGAAUUCCUGGUGUAGCGGUGAAAUGCGUAGAUAUCAGGAGGAACACCGGCGGCGAAGGCGGCUUACUGGACGGCAACUGACGUUGAGGCCCGAAAGCGUGGGGAGCGAACAGG
rnacentral:rRNA from 1 species